rnacentral:lncRNA from 1 species
GUCUCUCGUGGGCCACGGGACCGAGGGCUGGGGGGGGUCGGCUAAUUCCUUUUUGCUAAUGUUAUUCCCAAUGAAGCUGGUGAUAAAUUUGAUGAAGCGGUUUUGAUCCCGUCCCAAGCGCUCCCCGGGAGCCCCUAAGGUUUAAUGGGCCGUGUAAGUCCUUAUCGUUCUUAAUUAGUGGGCCGUUGUUGCACACUUUGAAUCUAAAGAGAUGAUGGGCCAACUUGGAGACGGGGUGAUAACAGUGUCUGAUCAAAGCAUGUUUUUGUCGGGGAAGUGUUGGUGCCGAACUACAAAAGCUCCGAUCCGAGGUAAUGACUUGCUCCAGGGCGACUGUGUAUUCCCAACGUAAGCACCAUAGAUUUUUUUUAUCUACUGGAUAUAUAAAAAAAUUGGCCAUUACAGACAUCCAACCUAAUCACAUUAUGAUCCAGACAUCUUAAUGUCAAAGCAAUAUGUUUAUAUGGACUGAUUUGGGGGCACAUUUAUAAAAAAUAAAUAAAUAAAUAAAUAAAUAAAUAAAUAAAUAAAUAUAUGUAUGUGUGUGUGUGUGUGUGUGUGUGUGUGUGUGUGUGUAUGUAUGUAUGUAUGUGUGUGUGUGUGUGUAUAUAUAUAUAUAUAUAUAUAUAUUUUUUUUUUUUUUUUUUUUUUUUGUCAUAGUCAGCUGGAUGUUGACUAUGACUUCCUGGCACAGCCUGAGGCAGUGGGCCGGGGCUGAGCCUUUGAUGUCAGAUGUCUGUCACAUCCAGGCCACAUGUCAAUUAAAGUGUGAGCGGGGAAGAUCGUGAAAGGACAGGAAACCGGCCCGAUUCCAACCUCAUUACCAUGCCCUGCUGGAUGGGGCUCAGCCUGUUAUAAUGACGGCUCUGUUGGCCGCGGCUCACUUUACACAACGCCCAGCCCACACGUUGCAGAAGCACGGCGCAUUGGACUCUUUGCUGAAGUGGGAUUGCACAAAUCUGGACACACGUGCCUCGAAAGAGAGACGGUUGUGAAGAAGCACAGAUGCCUUUGUGAUGGAUGCUUUCGGUCGGAUAUUCAUGUGUAGUUUAUUCGUGUUACGCCUUCAGUCGUUCCUAAAAGCAGGCUGUCCUUUUUAUAGAAAGUUACAAACAUUUUCGUGAGAAAUAAAACGCAGCUUUUGCAGCCA